GGUGCAGGUGAUGAUUUCAUGCGACCAAAGCCUGAAAGUUCGUGAUUAGAAUUUUUAUGGCAACUGAUGCACC
rnacentral:snoRNA from 1 species